UGGGGAAUAUUGGACAAUGGGCGCAAGCCUGAUCCAGCAAUGCCGCGUGGGUGAUGAAGGCCCUCGGGUUGUAAAGCCCUUUCGCACGCGACGAUGAUGACGGUAGCGUGAGAAGAAGCCCCGGCUAACUUCGUGCCAGCAGCCGCGGUAAUACGAAGGGGGCGAGCGUUGUUCGGAAUUACUGGGCGUAAAGGGCGCGUAGGCGGUCUGCCAAGUCAGGCGUGAAAGCCCCGGGCUCAACCUGGGAACGGCGCUUGGGACUGGUGCGCUCGAGUUCGGGAGAGGACGGCGGAAUUCCCAGUGUAGAGGUGAAAUUCGUAGAUAUUGGGAAGAACACCGAUGGCGAAGGCAGCCGUCUGGACCGACACUGACGCUGAGGCGCGAAAGCGUGGGGAGCAAACAGGAUUAGAUACCCUGGUAGUCCACGCCGUAAACGAUGAGUGCUAGACGUCGGGACCCUCAGGGCUUCGGUGUCGCAGCCAACGCAUUAAGCACUCCG
rnacentral:rRNA from 1 species